UUUCUUCCGUAAUUUACUCCCCUAUAUACUCCCACAUAAAUCCCUUUACUUUUAAUUUUCUCUCUUUUAAUCAUUACACAUGUGAAGCAUCGAUUUUGACAAAAAAAAAUAGUACAAUAUUUUUGAGGCUCAUGUGAUUGGAUAGAUUCUAAUAGAUUCUGCUCUGAAUAUUGGAAGAAGAUAGAAUAAUCUGUGGAUUUUGUGUAUUAGCUUCUUAGUCCUGCUUCAUUUUUUGGUGUGAUUGACUUCUUUCAAGAUGAUGAUAUUUGAGGAAAUGAAGUUCUGUGGCGAUCUUGAUUUCUUCCCUUCUCCGCUAAAGAAAGUGGAAAUGGAAGUGAUUGCCCCACAGAAUCAGAUUGAGCUGGAUUCUGUGGUGGAUGAUAAUUAAAGUGAUGAGGAGAUUGAUGUUGAUGAGCCUAACUUUGAUAUUCUAUGCUAUGUGCUGAUUUGUCGUAACAAAGAUUGCAAGUGGGUGUUGAGGGCGUCUUCUAUGAAUGAAUCGGAAAUUGAUGCUUAUAUGAGAAGUGGGUGUUGAAGGCGUCUUAUCCUUAUUCAUACUCCUUAUACAUAUGUUGUGGGUGUGUA